rnacentral:rRNA from 1 species
GACGAACGCUGGCGGCGUGCUUAACACAUGCAAGUCGAACGGCAACGCCCUGCUUUUGUGGUCUUCUCGAGUGCCGAACGGGUGCGUAACACGUGUGUAACCUGCUCUUGUCUUUGGUAUAACUUCACGAAACUGGGGCUAAUACCGGAUAGGAUCUCCUGCUGCGUGGUGGGGGGUGGAACGUUUCGGCGGUUGGGGUUGGACUCGCGGCUUAUCAGCUUGUUGGUGGGCUAGUGGCUUACCAAGGCUUUGACGGGUAGCCGGCCUGUGAGGGUGACCGGGCACAUUGGGACUGAGAUACGGCCCAGACUCAUACGGGAGGCAGCAGUGGGGAAUAUUGCACAAUGGGCGGAAGCCUGAUGCAGAAACGCCGGGGGCGGGAUGACGGCCUUCGGGUUGUAAACCGCUUUCGCCUGUGACGAAGCGUGAGUGACGGUAAUGGGUAAAGAAGCACCGGCUAACUACGUG